rnacentral:rRNA from 1 species
GAUGAACGCUAGCGGCAGGCUUAACACAUUUCAAGUCGGAAGGGUAACAGGGUGCUUGCACCGCUGACGACCGGCGCACGGGUGCGUAACGCGUAUAGAACCUACCUUUUACAGGAGAAUACCCCAGAGAAAUUUGGAAUAAUGCUCCAUAGUAUUAUUGAAUGGCAUCAUUUGAUAAUUAAACAUUUAUGGGUAAAAGAUGGCUAUGCGUUCUAUUAGCUAGAUGGUAAGGUAACGGCUUACCAUGGCAACGAUAGAUAGGGGUCGUGAGAGGGAGAUCCCCCACACUGGUAGUGAGACACGGACCAGACUCCUACGGGAGGCAGCAGUGAGGAAUAUUGGACAACGGAGGCAACUCUGAUCCAGCCAUGCCGCGUGCAGGAAGACGGUCCUAUGGAUUGUAAACUGCUUUUAUACAGGAAGAAACACUCCCUCGUGAGGGAGCUUGACGGUACCGUAUGAAUAAGCACCGGCUAACUCCGUGCCAGCAGCCGCGGUAAUACGGAGGGUGCAAGCGUUAUCCGGAAUCAUUGGGUUUAAAGGGUCCGUAGGCGGGCUAAUAAGUCAGGGGUGAAAUCCAACAGCUUAACUGUUGAAUUGCCUUUGAUACUGUUAGUCUUGAGUUAUAUGGAAGUAGAUAGAAUGUGUAGUGUAGCGGUGAAAUGCUUAGAGAUUACACAGAAUACCGAUUGCGAAGGCA